GUAAGUGUCCGCACGAACUUGCACUAUGUCUUCACGCAAUAUGAACAUGUGAACGACAAAAGGCUGCUGAGCCCUAUAGUCCGCGGUUGUAUAUAAAAAUACGCAGUUUCUCAGAGAAGCUGGUUGCGAACUUACAUGAGUUUGAGGAAGCAUGAGCCUGGGUACGGAGAAGACGUAACAGUCACAGCAGCUGAAAUCAGCAACAACUUGAGGGUUCCUGUUUUGAGACACUCUGUGUCUGUCUUCACUUCUGUAUGAUCACGCUCAGCCUUUUCCCAACCAUGGAACUGCCCCACAUCCCACUUACAUGGCAGCAAUAUUGUUCCUGUUUAAAAGCUGGGCUGUGUCUUCCUGUGAAGUUUACUCCAGCAACCAACAGGCCUUCAAAGGGUGCACGAGUACCUUGACCAGCAAGAGAUGACAGUCAUCACCGAUAGGCACAAUUAGGUGAAUCAUCCCUUCGACGUGCUGCACGUUGCAAGAGGCCUCAGAAAAAGAUACAUGCAGCAGCACUGGUGAAGCAUCAUCCGGUGCUACAAACAGGGUGGCACAAACAUGGUGCCACAACAUUGGAAAUCACCUCUACUGGUGCGCAUUGACAAGCAAUGAUAAUGGGAAGUUGGUCCUGGUAAAGUGGUUCACGGUAUUAUCAUGGAUAUUUAGAUCAUGGUGUUGCUUCACAUAUUCAUGAGAAUCAAGGUCUUCAUGCAAGAUGUGCACAUCGAGACAUUGGAGAGCAGCUUUGGCUCAAUGAAGGGACUGAAACAUUCGAACAAUUAGAGGGGAUAGUGGAUGUACCUCCCCUUCUGAAGGACAUCCUGUCACUGUGUGCACUACAAGUUCCCUUGCCUCAGUGCUGUUUCUCGGUCAUGUAUCUCGGAUAUCAGAGCACCACUUCCACCUUAUCUGUGUGCCACAUAUUGUAUCUACACAAGAAUAACGCAUGCGGGAAAACUACUGAAAUACGAACUUGUAUCGUUCCUUUACUGCGCAGGACGGUUCUGUCUAUUUUAGGCGUAAUAAUAACGCUAAUUUUCAGGUUAGGCUAUGUCCAGGAGCUUACUGGAGCUGUGUUCAAUCCCUGUGUGAGGCGGCUGUUCAUCAGACCCUGACCAGAAGCAAGAGGCUAAACAAGCUCACCACAAAAGAUACAGUGAAUUAGUCAAUAAAACACUGACAACUC